AUUGAACGCUGGCGGUAUGCUUAACACAUGCAAGUCGAACGGCAGCACGAGGAGCUUGCUCCUUGGUGGCGAGUGGCGGACGGGUGAGUAAUACUUAGGAAUCUAUCCAGUAGUUGGGGAUAACGUGUGGAAACGCACGCUAAUACCGAAUACGCACUAUGGUGGAAAGAGGGGGCUCUUCGGACCUCUCGCUAUCGGGUGAGCCUAAGCCGGAUUAGCUAGUUGGUGGGGUAAAGGCCUACCAAGGCGACGAUCCGUAGCUGGUCUGAGAGGACGAUCAGCCACACUGGGACUGAGACACGGCCCAG
rnacentral:rRNA from 1 species